CGGGAAAAGCUCAAAUUUAAAAUCUGGCGCUUGCGAGAGCGUCCGAGUUGUAAUCUAGAGAAGCGUCUUCCGCGCUGGACCGUGCACAAGUCUCCUGGAAUGGAGCGUCAUAGAGGGUGAGAAUCCCGUCUUUGGCACGGACUCCCGGUGCUUUGCGAUGCGCUCUCGAC
rnacentral:rRNA from 1 species